CUGCUGCCUCCCGUAGGAGUCUGGUCCGUGUCUCAGUACCAGUGUGGGGGACCUUCCUCUCAGAACCCCUACGCAUCGUCGCCUCGGUGGGCCGUUACCCCGCCGACUAGCUAAUGCGCCGCAUGCCCAUCCCCCGCCGGAAUCGCUUCCUUUGGCCGCAGACCCAUGCAGGUCCGCGGCGUUACGCGGUAUUAGUCGGGAUUUCUCCCGGUUAUCCCCCUGCGGGGGCAGGUCGCAUACGUGUUACUCACCCGUGCGCCGGUCGCCGGCAGG
rnacentral:rRNA from 1 species